rnacentral:rRNA from 1 species
CUACGGGGUGCUCCAGUGGGGAAUAUUGCACAAUGGGGGGAACCCUGAUGCAGCAACGCCGCGUGGAGGAUGACACAUUUCGGUGCGUAAACUCCUUUUAUAUAAGAAGAUAAUGACGGUAUUAUAUGAAUAAGCACCGGCUAACUCCGUGCCAGCAGCCGCGGUAAUACGGGGGGUGCAAGCGUUACUCGGAAUCACUGGCGUAAAGAGCAUGUAGGCUGGUUUGUAAGUUGGAAGUGAAAUCCUAUGGCUUAACCAUAGAACUGCUUCCAAAACUACUUACCUAGAGUAUGGGAGAGGUAGAUGGAAUUUCUGGUGUAGGGGUAAAAUCCGUAGAGAUCAGAAGGAAUACCGAUUGCGAAGGCGAUCUACUGGAACAUUACUGACGCUCAGAUGCGAAAGCGUGGGGAGCAAACAGGAUUAGAUACCCCCGUAGUC